CUGCUUUCCUUCUCCCCCCUCCCUGCUUCAGUGUUUCCUUCUUCUUUUUUCACUCCCUGUUUGUGUUUCAACAAACCCUAGCUCUCUUAUCCGCCCCUAUUUUCUCUCUCCUCCCAUUCUUCUUUCUCUCUUCUUCAUUGUUCUAUCAAAGAACCGAUUGAUUCAGUGAAGGAUCUACCAAUUUAGUUUAAUUUGAUUUUGCUAUGUAGAACCGAUUGAUUCAGUGAAGGAUCUAUCAAUUUAGAGAUGAAGAGACAUCCUUAUCCAUCAUUUUUUUUAAAGUGGGGUUUGUGUGAUGGGUAUAAGCUGGAUAAUGAUACACAAACAAGAGGUGUUAACUACUUAACCCUAAAUAUAAUGACCUCAAAGCCACUAAUCUCCCUAGAAAUGUGUCGAAUGUUUCAUCCGCCCAGCUUUCAAGUAUAUUAUCGCCUUAUCAGGUGAUCGAUAACACUGACAAAACUAGCACGAACAGAUCAAAAGAUACAUUCCUUGACUGGUUUCUCCACCCAUUUUUAGUUAUGAAAUAACAUAUCAAAGCAGAAAACCGCUCGCCGGCAUUGGGACAUUACCUUGGCAAAUGAGUUUUACUGAAUGGAGAUCCUAAGAGUCUUCAAAGUUUUUGCACUAUAAACACCUUUGAAGAUGAAGCUAAAAGAGCAGAACUUUAGGCACUGGCACGAGCCGCACGAAGGACUGAGUGAGUGAGUGUGGCCGUGGAGACGACCGUAGCUGCUACCCAUACACCUGUGAUCAAAUGUACUUACCAUCCUCAUUCCUGAAUCAUGUAUUACGAAUAUAGGUGGUUCUCUUUUCUGUCAAAUAUGAUUGUGCUGUGAAUUGAAUAAAUAGCCAUGGCGUCUUCAGUUCUGGUGUAUAUCUAGAACUGUUGAUGUUUCAUGGUUCAACGAUUUGUGAAUGUAAUUAUGUACUGAUUGUUGAAAGAAAGAUCUACUAUUAUUCUAUUAAGCUGAUUAUUAUGGUGUA